rnacentral:rRNA from 1 species
UUUAAAGAGAGUUUGAUCCUGGCUCAGGACGAACGCUGGCGGCGUGCCUAAUACAUGCAAGUCGAACGAACGGAGGAAGAGCUUGCUCUUCCAAAGUUAGUGGCGGACGGGUGAGUAACACGUGGGCAACCUGCCUGUAAGUUGGGGAUAACUCCGGGAAACCGGGGCUAAUACCGAAUAAUAAGAUGUGGCGCAUGCCACGCCUUUGAAAGAUGGUUUCGGCUAUCACUUACAGAUGGGCCCGCGGUGCAUUAGCUAGUUGGUAGGGUAAUGGCCUACC